AACGUAGGGCACGAGCGUUAUCCGGAUUCACUGGGCGUAAAGCGCGUUGAGGCGGCUCCGUAAGUUGGGCGUGAAAGCCCCGGGUUUAACCAGGGGAGGCCGUCCAAUACUGCGGGGCUUGAGGGCAGCAGAGGGAGGUGGAAUUCCCGGUGUAGUGGUGAAAUGCGUAGAUAUCGGGAGGAACACCCGUGGCGAAGGCGGCCUCCUGGGCUGCUACUGAAGCUGAAGGCGAAAGCCAGGGGAGCGAACGGG
rnacentral:rRNA from 1 species